rnacentral:rRNA from 1 species
GACAGAGGUGCCAAGCGUUAGGCGGAAUCACUGGGCUUAAAGCGUGUGUAGGCGGAAUUGUAAGUACCUUGUGAAAUCCCACGGCUCAACCGUGGAACUGCUUGGUAUACUGCUUUUCUUGAGCCACUUAGGGGCUACCGGAACAAAUGGUGGAGCGGUGAAAUGCGUAGAUAUCAUUUGGAACGCCAAUGGUGAAAACAGGUAGCUGGGAGUGUGCUGACGCUGAGGCGCGAAAGCGUGGGGAGCGAACAGG